UACGUAGGGUGCAAGCGUUAUCCGGAAUUAUUGGGCGUAAAGAGCUCGUAGGCGGUUUGUCGCGUCUGCUGUGAAAACUGGGGCUCAACCCCCAGCCUGCAGUGGGUACGGGCAGACUAGAGUGCGGUAGGGGAGAUUGGAAUUCCCGGUGUAGUGGUGAAAUGCGCAGAUAUCAGGAGGAACACCGGUGGCGAAGGCGGGUCUCUGGGCCGAUACUGACGCUGAGGAGCGAAAGCGUGGGGAGCGAACAGG
rnacentral:rRNA from 1 species